rnacentral:rRNA from 1 species
GACGGAGGAUGCAAGCGUUAUCCGGAAUGAUUGGGCGUAAAGCGUCCGCAGGUGGCAGUUCAAGUCUGCUGUCAAAGACCGGGGCUCAACCUCGGAAAGGCAGUGGAAACUGAACAGCUAGAGUAUGGUAGGGGCAAGGGGAAUUCCUGGUGUAGCGGUGAAAUGCGUAGAGAUCAGGAAGAACAUCGGUGGCGAAGGCGCUUUGCUGGACCAUAACUGACACUCAGGGACGAAAGCUAGGGGAGCGAAUGGG